CUGGCGUGCAAGCACCUCCCGCAGAGUGAGCUGGCAGGGACAAGGCAAGAGCCGUGGCAGCCAUCGUCGGGGUGACACGGUGCCUUCUGAGAGCCUGCUGGACCCCAUGAUGUCCACCAAUAUUUCUCCGGAGCAGCUGAAGAGCCUCCAGAGUGGUUUCCAGCUGCAGAGUAAUCAUCUGACCACGGACCUAGACAACAUGCCGCCCA